ACAGGCGCCAUCUUGGGUACGCGAGAGAUACUCGGACAAAGGGGCUGCGUGCGCAGUCCUAACGUGUGCGCAGAGCGAGUUGCGUGAGCGUCUUUACCGGGAGUUAUUUAAAAGGAAAAUAGACUGGGAUCACACACAUUCGGUGUUACUUUUUGAGAGUACAUAAAGAAGUAAAUGCAAAGUGGAAAAUUUUCAUGUGUUUAUAGUGAGUUUAAAUAAUAUAAUGGAUUUAUGAGCCUUGUAAACCUUUUGGGCACGGGACAAGGGUCAGGUAUCGUCCUCCGUCACUUCAGUAGUGAAGGCGGUAAUAACAAGGGCCUUUGUACCUGACACAAUAGGACCUCACCCCAAGGCAAUGACAACAUCAUUAAUCGACAUGACCGGAGAUUGUUAUCUGAGAGGGCGGCAAUAGGUUGAAAAUUCGUCAGGAUUAUUCCACUGAUAUGUCCAGAUCUUAACGAGAUUUUGAUUGGAGUACCGAUGGAACAUCUAGCUUCCGAGACGCAACUUGGACAGGUAGUCAGGUGUUCGCAAUCACGGUGUACUCGGAUUCGCUUAUCGCAUCGUACGAUCGUAUCUUCGAUGAAACUGAGUCACCUCCACCACGUUGGGACCCUUUGGAAUACCCUAGGGGUAUUCAAUUCAGAGGUUCUCGCUGAAUUUUAUCUCGGAGGAGUCAUCUGUUAGUCUUGUUGACCCUGAAGUAGUUUAUUUCUCAUUUUCAACGAGAGGUAUUGUCUCAAUUUCAAGAGACACUCGUUCAAUAAUAUUUUAUCCAAUUUAAUGACGCAAAAAAUCGAGUAAAAAAUCUACACAGGUUUCACUGCAGAUUAAAUUGUCUAGAGAAGGUGAACAAAAAUAUAAAUAUUUUCUGAAAAUUGUUCAUUAAUUUUCCUGCAAUAAUACUCACCGCCCAUUUUUUUCCCCGUCAAAUAGUUUGAAUUUCCCAGAUUGAUUUCUUCGAGACAACUUUACCCUAAUGGUCAUUCUAAUUACAAUGAAUUUACCCGCAAAAUAAUAACUCAACCACUGUAUGAGUAGUUAAUGAUCGUCUGAGACAGCAGAUUGAUUGAUAAUAUUUCUCAUGACCGAAGGAAAUACCGAUGAUUCUUUAAUACAAACGUGUCACUCGACAUAAUGAGUUAACGAGAUUUUUUUUACAAUAUUGUUUACUCACCCGAACG